AUUGAACGCUGGCGGCAUGCCUUACACAUGCAAGUCGAACGGCAGCGCGGGGCAACCUGGCGGCGAGUGGCGAACGGGUGAGUAAUAUAUCGGAACAUGCCCAGAAGUGGGGGAUAACGUAGCGAAAGUUACGCUAAUACCGCAUACGAUCUACGGAUGAAAGUGGGGGACCGCAAGGCCUCAUGCUUUUGGAGUGGCCGAUAUCUGAUUAGCUAGUUGGUGGGGUAAAGGCCUACCAAGGCGACGAUCAGUAGCUGGUCUGAGAGGACGACCAGCCACACUGGAACUGAGACACGGUCCAGACUCCUACGGGAGGCAGCAGUGGGGAAUUUUGGACAAUGGGGGCAACCCUGAUCCAGCAAUGCCGCGUGUGUGAAGAAGGCCUUC
rnacentral:rRNA from 1 species